UUGCACGCUGGCGGCAGGCCUCACCCAUGCAAGUCGAGCGGAUGAAGGGAGCUUGCUCCUGGAUUCAGCGGCGGACGGUUGAGUAAUGCCUAGGAAUCUGCCUGGUAGUGGGGGAUAACGUCCGGAAACGGGCGCUAAUACCGCAUACGUCCUGAGGGAGAAAGUGGGGGAUCUUCGGACCUCACGCUAUCAGAUGAGCCUAGGUCGGAUUAGCUAGUUGGUGGGGUAAAGGCCUACCAAGGCGACGAUCCGUAACUGGUCUGAGAGGAUGAUCAGUCACACUGGAACUGAGACACGGUCCAGACUCCUACGGGAGGCAGCAGUGGGGAAUAUUGGACAAUGGGCGAAAGCCUGAUCCAGCCAUGCCGCGUGUGUGAAGAAGGUCUUCGGAUUGUAAAGCACUUUAAGUUGGGAGGAAGGGCAGUAAGUUAAUACCUUGCUGUUUUGACGUUACCAACAGAAUAAGCACCGGCUAACUUCGU
rnacentral:rRNA from 1 species